rnacentral:lncRNA from 1 species
ACAAAAUACAUAUAGGGUAUGCUGUUAAUGAUGGUACAGAGAAGAGGCUUUCUUCACAAGCUGGGUUAGAUGAGUAACCUAAAGACGGAACAAUUUCUCAAAUUUAUUCAACUAACAGGUGUAUGGGAGGCAGAUGAAUUCCUAAACUACAUUCUGAGGACAAACAGAAGGGACAUUUGAUCUUUCCCAAGAGACUAUAAAACCACACUAGCUUAUUACAAGACCGUUUCAAAUUGACCUUCUUUUUCACCAUCUGCUCAGUGUGGAAGAACUUUUACAGCUACUUGUCUUUGUAUAAGCACUUCUUUAUUAAAU